rnacentral:rRNA from 1 species
GAUGAACGCUGGCGGCGUGCCUAAUACAUGCAAGUCGAGCGAACAGACGAGGAGCUUGCUCCUCUGACGUUAGCGGCGGACGGGUGAGUAACACGUGGAUAACCUACCUAUAAGACUGGGAUAACUUCGGGAAACCGGAGCUAAUACCGGAUAAUAUAUUGAACCGCAUGGUUCAAUAGUGAAAGACGGUUUUGCUGUCACUUAUAGAUGGAUCCGCGCCGCAUUAGCUAGUUGGUAAGGUAACGGCUUACCAAGGCAACGAUGCGUAGCCGACCUGAGAGGGUGAUCGGCCACACUGGAACUGAGACACGGUCCAGACUCCUACGGGAGGCAGCAGUAUGGAAUCUUCCGCAAUGGGCGAAAGCCUGACGGAGCAACGCCGCGUGAGUGAUGAAGGUCUUCGGAUCGUAAAACUCUGUUAUUAGGUAAGAACAAAUGUGUAAGUAACUAUGCACGUCUUGACGGUACCUAAUCAGAAAGCCACGGCUAACUACGUG